rnacentral:rRNA from 1 species
GACGAACCGUGCUAACGUUGUUCGGAAUCACUGGGCUUAAAGGGCGCGUAGGCGGCCCACCAAGUCAGGGGUGAAAUCUUUCGGCUUAACCGGAAAAGUGCCUUUGAUACUGGUGGGCUCGAGCGAGGUAGGGGCAGAUGGAACUUCGGGUGGAGCGGUGAAAUGUGUAGAUAUCCGAAGGAACGCCGGUGGCGAAAGCGAUCUGCUGGACCUCUUCUGACGCUGAGGCGCGAAAGCCAGGGAAGCAAACAGG